rnacentral:rRNA from 1 species
CGCGGCCUAUCAGCUUGUUGGUGGGGUAACGGCCCACCAAGGCAUCGACGGGUAGCUGGUCUGAGAGGACGAUCAGCCACACUGGGACUGAGACACGGCCCAGACUCCUACGGGAGGCAGCAGUGGGGAAUAUUGCGCAAUGGGCGAAAGCCUGACGCAGCAACGCCGCGUGGGGGAUGAAGGCCUUCGGGUUGUAAACCCCUUUCAGCAGGGACGAAAAUGACGGUACCUGCAGAAGAAGCCCCGGCCAACUACGUGCCAGCAGCCGCGGUAACACGUAGGGGGCAAGCGUUGUCCGGAUUUAUUGGGCGUAAAGAGCUCGUAGGCGGUUGCGUAAGUCGGAUGUGAUAACUCAGGGCUCAACCCGGAGACGCCAUCCGAUACUGCGCUGACUAGAGUCCGGUAGAGGAGCAUGGAAUUCCUGGUGUAGCGGUGAAAUGCGCAGAUAUCAGGAGGAACACCAGUGACGAAGGCGGUGCUCUGGGCCGGUACUGACGCUGAGGAGCGAAAGCGUGGGUAGCGAACAGGAUUAGAUACCCUGGUAGUCCACGCCGUAAACGUUGGGCACUAGGUGUGGGGCCUCCUUAACGGGUUCCGUGCCGUAGCUAACGCAUUAAGUGCCCCGCCUGGGGAGUACG